rnacentral:rRNA from 1 species
AGAGUUUGAUCAUGGCUCAGAAUCAACGCUGGCGGCGCGCUUAACACAUGCAAGUCGAACGAGAAAGGGAGCAAUCCUGAGUAAAGUGGCGUACUGGUGAGUAACACGUGGAUAUCUACCUCCUGGUGGGGAAUAACCUGGGGAAACCUGGGCUAAUACCGCAUAAGUUCGUGAGAAGAAAGGCGCAAGUCGCCGGGAGAGGAGUCCGCGGUCGAUUAGGUAGUUGGCGGGGUAAAAGCCCACCAAGCCAAAGAUCGAUAGCCGGCCUGAGAGGGCACACGGCCACACUGGCACUGAAACACGGGCCAGACUCCUACGGGAGGCAGCAGUGGGGAAUCUUGCACAAUGGGGGAAACCCUGAUGCAGCGACGCCGCGUGAGCGAUGAAGCCCUUCGGGGUGUAAAGCUCUUUCGGCAGGAACGAUAAUGACGGUACCUGCAGAAGAAGCUGCGGCUAACUACGUGCCAGCAGCCGCGGUAAUACGUAGGCAGCGAGCGUUGUUCGGAAUUACUGGGCGUAAAGAGUGUGUAGGUGGUGUCGUAAGUUUGGUGUGAAAUCUCCCGGCUCAACUGGGAGGGUGCGCCGAAGACUGCGAUGCUGGAGUAUGGGAGAGGAAAGCGGAAUUCCUGGUGUAGCGGUGAAAUGCGUAGAUAUCAGGAGGAACACCUGCGGUGUAGACGGCUUUCUGGACCAUUACUGACACUGAGACACGAAAGCGUGGGUAGCAAACAGGAUUAGAUACCCUGGUAGUCC